rnacentral:lncRNA from 1 species
GCUGGGCCGGGCCGCGCCUCCUCCUGGCUCGGGGCCCCGGACUUGGGGAGUGGGUGGCAGGGACGCCGGGUCCCUGCUCCGUCCUCCGCCCGCGCCUCCUUUCAAUCCCCACGGAAUUUAAGAGGAAAUUACCUGGGAGGGCUUUUUAGUCAAAGCCCAGGCGGGCACCACCUGAGACUGAGACUCCAUCGUCCAUCAUCCCCACGUAUAAGUCCUCCUGGGGGGCUGCCCCAGCAGCCGUGCGCCACAUGUGAGGCGACAAAGGGAGCCAAGGAGGUGAUAAGGAAAGAGCCUGAUACUCACUUAAGUUCUGGACUCAGAUGUGACACAGGAGGCUGUGCUCCUGCAGCUGUUUCUGCGGGCCCGUCAGGCCAUCCAUUCCUGAGAGGGCGGGCAACUUCCGAGCAGACUCAGACGGCAGAGGAGAACUUCCUGGCUCCCAUGCCACCUCUUUACAUCACCACCGCAUUCCCUGGGACCCACACACUAAGGAUCCACCGUCUUCUUGUGCUGCCUCUGUAUCCAUCCCCUUUUCUUAUUUGCUUACAUCGGCAUUCUUUACUCAUUAAAAUAACCUAAGCCAGGCGUGGUGGUACAGGCCAGUAAUUUCAUCACUCUGGGAG